AUGACCUCAAUCAGGAGGAUACCCCUGACUAACUAUAAUGGGGAAAAAAA
rnacentral:rRNA from 1 species